rnacentral:tmRNA from 1 species
GCAUGUCGAGCUGAAUGCGCUCGUAAAACAGAUUCAAACAAACUAACUGCAAACGACGAACGUUUCGCACUCGCUGCUUAAUUGCCAGUGAGCCUUGCAACAGUUGGCCGAUGGGCUGGGCAAGGGGGUGAAGGCGCAAGCUGACACCUCCCGGCUGCAAGGAUAAUUACAUGGGCUGGUUUCGAUCCGGGUGCCUUGGAUCGGAACGAGAAAAUAGGGCACUGGCGUCCGGUUUAGCGUGCGACUGCGCGACUCCGGGAGCGAGAUCUAAAUCAGACCGCUAAACAUGUAGAUCUGUGCGAUGAAGGCUUGCGGACGGGGGUUCAAAUCCCCCCAGCUCCACCA